UCAGCUCUACCUAGGACUGGUGGAUUCAGUGCUACCCAUUGAGGAGAAUUGACAGGUUGGAAGUAGGGGCCUCUGACAGAUACCUGCUGUACACCAUGAGCUGGAUCGAUCAUCUUGCAGAGUGUAAAGGGAAGCUAUUUCAUGAACUAUAUCCCAGCUUCCAUCCAACCUGUGGAUUAUCCCUGAGGCUUUGUGGAUUGC